CCCUGUAAACCGACACAGGUGGGCGAGAUGAGUAUUCUAAGGCGCUCGGGAGAACCACUCUUAAGGAACUCGACCAAUUGACCCCGUAACUUCGGAAGAAGGGGUGCUCUCGCCGUCAUGGGCAUACGCCCGGCAGCGGUUGAGAGCGGCACUGAAAUGGCUCAGGCGACUGUUUAUCAAAAACACAGGUCUCUGCUAAGUCGUAAGACGACGUAUAGGGGCUGACGCCUGCCCAAUGCCGGAAGGUUAACGGGAGAGGUUAGCGUAAGCGAAGCUUUGAACCGAAGCCCCGGUUAAUGGCGGCCGUAACUAUAACGGUCCUAAGGUAGCGAAAUUCCUUGUCGGGUAAGUUCCGACCUGCACGAAUGGCGUAACGAUCUGAGCAUUGUCUCAAGGGUGGUCCCGGUGAAGUUGUAUUACCUGUGAAGAUGCAGGUUACCCGCAGUAGGACGGAAAGACCCUGUGCACCUUCACUGCAGAUUGAUAUUGGGUUUAGUUGUGGUUUGUAUAGGAUAGGUGGGAGUCAUUGAAGCUGGCGCGUUAGCGUCGGUGGAGACAACCUUGGAAUACCACCCUGACCUUAACUGAAUUCUAACUCCGAACCCGUGAAGCCGGGCGGAGGACAGUGUCUGUCGGGCAGUUUGACUGGGGCGGUCGCCUCCCAAAGAGUAACGGAGGCGCCCCAAGGUUCCCUCAGCACGGAUGGAAAUCGUGCGUCGAGUGUAAAGGCAAAAGGGAGCUUAACUGCGAGACCAACAAGUCGAGCAGAUGCGAAAGUAGGGCUUAGUGAUCCAGCGGUCCCAUAUGGAAGGGCCGUUGCUCAACGGAUAAAAGGUACGCCGGGGAUAACAGGCUGAUAACCCCCAAGAGUUCACAUCGACGGGGUUGUUUGGCACCUCGAUGUCGGCUCGUCACAUCCUGGGGCUGAAGCAGGUCCCAAGGGUUCGUCUGUUCGCCGAUUAAAGUGGCACGCGAUCUGGGUUCAAAACGUCGCGAGACAGUUUGGUCCCUAUCCACUGCGGGCGUAGGAAAUUUGCGGGAAGCCGUCUCUAGUACGAGAGGACCGAGAUGGACAUACCCCUGGUGUUCCGGUUGUCACGCCAGUGGCAUCGCCGGGUAGCUAUGUAUGGACGGGAUAAGCGCUGAAAGCAUCUAAGCACGAAGCCCCUCCCAAGAUAAGAUUUCCCAGACCAUAAGGUCUCUAAAGGGCCCUCGAAGACUACGAGGUAAUAGGCUGGAGGUGUAAGCGUAGCGAUACGUUAAGCUGACCAGUACUAAUCAGCCCGUGCGGCUUGGUCC
rnacentral:rRNA from 1 species